AAUUUGCAAUGUGCUCUCUUUUUUAUUCUCUUAACCAACACUUCUAUAAUUGAUAAUAUAUCUGUUGUGUGAUAAGGUGAGUAUUGAAGUACUGAUUAACACCGUGUUGGCGCUGAAAAGUUUUAUCCUUUGGACAUUGUUGCUGUAUGUGUAGCUGGAAGAACGACCUGUCAAGUAAGAUAAGUUUUGGAAUCAUAUCAACAAAAAUGAGCCAGAAUAUGUGAAUCAAAUAGUGAAGACCUUUAUGCAUUUGGUAUAAUUUAUUUUCUCUUUUAGUCAAAGCAAUGGAUUUAGAUAAUAUAUCGACAAAGGUGGAGUCAAGUAUAUAAAGAUAUGCUGGACAAUGAAUUAGCUUAUGUUCUGAACGGUUAAUAUUUCGUAUCAUGUUUUGGCUUCUUAAAGCAAAUAUAUGUAUUCAUUCUGUUUUGGAAUUUGGAAUUGGUGUGGCAUUACGGGCAAAAGCUUUUGUGGUUAAAGUUGAUACGGUUCUGCUAGUAGGAACUAUUCUUUAGAAACUACUGGGUAAGUAAAGCUAUUAAGCAGUUUCACCUUAUGCAGUUGUGUUAAUAUAAUCAUGUAAUAUCUCAAAACAUAACUAAUAACUGGAUAAAUGAAUUUGCUAUGUCAAAAAUUUCAGCGGAUCAUUUUAUGACUUUUAUGUGUUACUUUUAUAUAAUUUGCGUGAACCCUCCAGCUAAGAUAUUUAUUUAUUAAACAACAUUGCAUAAUGACUGUUACAGUACUAAAUUUGGUAACUUAUCAAAUAGGUAGAUUCUAGAUAUGCUAUGAAUAUCCUUAUUGUUCUCUUGGGUGCAAUGUUGGCUGCAGCUUAUCCUCUUUCAUCUCGUCAACAAUAUGUGUUGUCAUGGUUAAAUACUUUGAUUUUAGUUGAGGACAUGAUGGAUGCAUAUCUGUUAAAAAGACAGUUCUAAAAUAACCUCUGUAAGUGCUUCUACUCAUCUACCAAAUUUCCUAAUUUGUUAGGAGGGUUAGUUAAGUUGAGAUUGACUGCAAGGUAAAAUGUGUCUAAUUUCUUUUUUACAUAUUUGGCUUGUAAUACUAUGAACGGCUAUAAGUUCUUUGUGGAUGUACCUGAUUUUGCUCCUAUAUGCAACUCGGAUAUAUAGAUGCGAACCUUAUUGGCCUGGAAUAGGUUUGAUAUAUGUUCUAUACAAAAGGUGUAUCUUAUGGCUUAAAUAAAUUAUUUUUAAUUUGUCAAUAGACUAAUAUAACUGACUGUUGGAUGAAAUAAUUGCAACUUGUAAGUACUAUACUAGCAAAACUUAUCUUGCAACUCACUAUAGCAUUUCGAGAGCGUCUGGUAUUUAACAGGAAGGAACCUUUUUUACAAAGAUCAUAUACACAAAAGCAGUGUCUCUAUCUUAUUUGCCCACCUGAAGCUGUGGAAGGUAGACACUAUAUUUAUAAAUCCCAAUUUAUUUUUUGCUAGAGAAUUAAAAUUGAUACGAUUUCGCUAGUAGGAGCUAUUUUCCGAAACUACUUGGUGAGUAAAGGUAUUAAACAGUUUCACCUUAUGCAGUUGUACCAAUAUAAUAAUCUAAUAUCUAAAACCGUAACUAAUUACCGAAUAAAUGAAAUUGCUAGGCCAAAAAUCCCAAAUGAACAUUAAUUGACUUUUAGGUGUGGCUUCUAUAUAAUAUUUAUGAACCCGCCAGCAUAAGAUAUUUGUGUAAUUGAUAGAAUACGGAGUUGGAUACCCAAAUCUCCCGGGUAAUCUAAAUCCUUAUCUUAAUAUUUCUAAGUAGUACUUCUACAAGGAUUAUAUGAUUCCAAUGGUUUGUGGUUAAAUGUGGGAUUUAAAAUUGAGUUGCACCAAAACUCUAUACUAUGUUGUCAAUUACAAAACAUUUAGAUGCUUUUCUACUAUUGAAUUUCACGCCUGCUGAUAGAAGAUUAAUAAAAGGAUAUGUUGCUUCAGAUUGAUUAUUAAUUAAUAAGGCUAUGGUUGUAAACUAAUAAAUUUUUUUAAGACACUUCGUGACUAGUUUUUGGCUAAUGAUUAUUGGUUUUUUCAGGUCAUUCGGGAUAGGAUGUUAAGAGAUUCCAAAUUUUAUGGAAAAUCAUUCUACCAGGAGAGGAAUGAGAGGCUAUUUUAUAAGCUUCUGAUUGAUAACAUGGAGGAACUGCUUCUUGUUGUUUACACUCCAAUUGUUAGAGAAGCCUGCCAGAAAUAUGGAAGCAUUUUUCGUCGACUGCAGGGUCUAUACAUUAGAUUGAAAGUGAAGUAUGGUUUUUUAUUUAUAUUUAUUGUUCUGUUUUCAUCAUUUAGCCUUUGAGGUGAAAAAAAGAAAGAAAGAAAGAAAGAUAAGAAGAGAUACUAAGUGUUUGAGACUCUACAGAGGCUAGAUCCUUGAAGUAAUGAAAAACUGGCUAGAGAAAAACACUCAAGUUGUUGUCACUAAUGACGAGCAAAUAUUAGGACUCGGAGAUCUUGGUUGCCAGGUUGUUGUUUUCACAGAUAUUAGUCUUGAGAAAGCUAUUGAGUUCAAUGAUUUUUGCCACACUCAUCAGCUUCCUAUUGCUUUUAUCAAAACUGAAGUUAGAGGUUUUUUUGUAGAGGAAAAGCCAGUUCUGGACUCAGAACUUUGGCAUGCAUGUGCUGGUCCCCUUGUUUCUUUACCUGUAGUUGGGAGCCAUGUGGUGUACUUUCAACAAGGUCAUAGUGAACAAGCGAAGUUUCUAAUAUGUUUCAACUCAAAAUAUUUUCAAGUUGGUUGAUAUUUCUGAGUGUAUUGAGGCACAGUUAUCUAAUCAUAGAUCUUGAUGCGGAAGGAACUUGGCAUCAAAAGGAUUUUCUAGAACACUUUCUCCCUCAAUUGCCAAAUUGAAAUACUUGGUUAGCUUAAGAUGCCUUGCUUCCAAUUCCUAAGGUUUCUAUGAUCUUCUGAGAAAGAGAAGCAUUUCAAGACUCUUCAGACAAAAAUACAGCAGAUGAAUGGAAAUCCUUAUCUGGCCCUUUAUAUGAGGUAUGAGAAGGACAUGCUUGUAUUUAUUGGCUGCAGUCACAAUGUGACUAUAGAAGAAGAUGAGCAACUAAGACAACUGAAGUCAGUCACUGGAAGGAGAAAGAGAUUAAUGGGACUGUGAGGAGAUUGCUUGGAGGCUUCCCGUUAACUCCUAGAUUCCCUGUUACUUAGAGCACUUGGUUAAUGCAGGAUGAAUUUUGUUAAACUUGUUGACCAAUUAUAUGAUAUUUUUAGUAUGGUUGAAAAAUACUCCCUAAAGGUCUUCUAGGAUUGCAUUCAUAUUUUCAUUUUGAGAUUUUUAUGUAAUUAGAUGAUAUUGAAAUAUUGAAGUUGUUUUAUUUUACUUUUUAAAGAAAAACAAUAAUAGUUAUGUAGAAGAAUAUCAUAUGAAAUUAUGUUUGGAACUAUUGACAUUGCGAAUUUUUUUAUAUAUAAAGUUAUGUCUUAUAUUGAGGAAUUAUGUUAUAAAAGAUUUUGUUUUUAAAUUUUGAUAUUAAAAAAUAAAUUUUUAAUUUGAGAAUAUGUAAAUUAGAUGAGAUUAAUGAAUGAUUUGAAAUUAAAAAUAAAUAAAUAAUUACAGGGUUGUGGAGGUUUGAAAC